UACAGAGGGGGCAAGCGUUGUUCGGAAUUACUGGGCGUAAAGGGCGCGUAGGCGGCCUUCUAAGUCGAACGUGAAAUCCCCGAGCUCAACUCGGGAACUGCGUCCGAUACUGGCGGGCUUGAAUCCGGGAGAGGGAUGCGGAAUUCCAGGUGUAGCGGUGAAAUGCGCAGAUAUCAGGAGGAACACCGGUGGCGAAGGCGGUUCUCUGGGCAUUACCUGACGCUGAGGAGCGAAAGUGUGGGGAGCGAACAGG
rnacentral:rRNA from 1 species